AUGGGGCGGAACUGGAUGAUUGAGGAUUAUGGUAGUUUUCUUUCUUCUUCUUCUUCUUCUCAUCAUCGUCACAUGUCUUCGUUGUUGUUUUUUCUUCUUCUUCUUGUACUACUUAUUAUACACCUUCAACAUGUCCUUGUUUCUUUCUCUGUCCA
rnacentral:ribozyme from 1 species